GAGCAGCCGACACUACUGCUACAAAAAUCAACAUCAAUUUAGGUGAAGGAAAUGGCUAGUUACCAGAUUGAAGUGGGAUUUUUAACACAAAAGAAGCAACUGUCACAUGAAAAUUUGCUCUGCAAUUAAUGAUUAUAAUGUCCCAUUUUUCCUCACUUUGGGAUGAAUACAAAGUGGAUACUACCAUUGCAAUGAGACAAAUUUUCUAGGUUAUCCAUCUUGACAUAUGUGAUAAACAUACUUCUUGUUACGAUCCCACGUUGCUAAAGAACAACCUUAGUGAGAGGUUAAUAAGUCUCUAAGCAUUCUCCUUUUGCAAGCCGGUUUUCAAGGUUGAGUUCUACUUAGGUGGUCUAUCCUCACGUGACGCAAUCUCAGCGACUCGUGGUACUUGUU
rnacentral:misc_RNA from 1 species